rnacentral:lncRNA from 1 species
GAGCUGGGCUUGGUGCCCAGUAAAAGUACAGAGGAUCCUUGUGCCAUGACUGUUUGGCCAGCCCUAGUGCCAGGGGGCUGUCUGGCAGUGCUCAUAGUUCUCUGGAGUGCAGCCAGGAUCUGCCAGGCAGUCUGACUCCAUCCAGAAGCUUCUCAACCAGAUGAAGAAGUGAUGUCUGUGAUCUGCUUUGGGGAGGGACUUCUCAAGUAACUGUGACUUAAAAUAUACCCUGCCUGACUCAGAGGGGCACUGUCAUCUUGGAAUUCAAAGAUGCAUCUUGCGGUUUCCAAGACACCUCCACUGUUUUGAACAUACAGGUGCCAACAUAUAUUCAAACAAGAAUCAUCUGAAAUAAGGAUUCGGAAGAAGCACAAUUUUGUGUAAACAUAUCUGAAAUUUAAGAACCUUUAAAUAAUGGG